rnacentral:rRNA from 1 species
GAUGAACGCUGGCGGCGUGCCUAAUACAUGCAAGUCGAGCGAACAGACGAGGAGCUUGCUCCUCUGACGUUAGCGGCGGACGGGUGAGUAACACGUGGAUAACCUACCUAUAAGACUGGGAUAACUUCGGGAAACCGGAGCUAAUACCGGAUAAUAUAUUGAACCGCAUGGUUCAAUAGUGAAAGACGGUUUUGCUGUCACUUAUAGAUGGAUCCGCGCCGCAUUAGCUAGUUGGUAAGGUAACGGCUUACCAAGGCGACGAUGCGUAGCCGACCUGAGAGGGUGAUCGGCCACACUGGAACUGAGACACGGUCCAGACUCCUGCGGGAGGCAGCAGUAGGGAAUCUUCCGCAAUGGGCGAAAGCCUGACGGAGCAACACCGCGUGAGUGAUGAAGGUCUUCGGAUCGUAAAACUCUGUUAUUAGGGAAGAACAAAUGUGUAAGUAACUAUGCACGUCUUGACGGUACCUAAUCAGAAAGCCACGGCUAACUACGUG